rnacentral:rRNA from 1 species
GAUGAACGCUGGCGGCGUGCCUAAUACAUGCAAGUCGAGCGAACAGACGAGGAGCUUGCUCCUCUGACGUUAGCGGCGGACGGGUGAGUAACACGUGGAUAACCUACCUAUAAGACUGGGAUAACUUCGGGGAACCGGAGCUAAUACCGGAUAAUAUAUUGAACCGCAUGGUUCAAUAGUGAAAGACGGUUUUGCUGUCACUUAUAGAUGGAUCCGCGCCGCAUUAGCUAGUUGGUAAGGUAACGGCUUACCAAGGCAACGAUGCGUAGCCGACCUGAGAGGGUGAUCGGCCAAACUGGAACUGAGACACGGUCCAGACUCCUACGGGAGGCAGCAGUAGGGAAUCUUCCGCAAUGGGCGAAAGCCUGACGGAGCAACGCCGCGUGAGUGAUGAAGGUCUUCGGAUCGUAAAACUCUGUUAUUAGGGAAGAACAAAUGUGUAAGUAACUAUGCACGUCUUGACGGUACCUAAUCAGAAAGCCACGGCUAACUACGUG